rnacentral:rRNA from 1 species
UACGAAGGGGGCGAGCGUUGUUCGGAUUUACUGGGCGUAAAGGGCGCGUAGGCGGUCGUGUUUGUCGAGUGUGAAAGCCCCGGGCUCAACCUGGGAAUUGCGCUCGAAACGGCACGGCUAGAGUUCGGGAGAGGAGAGUGGAAUUCCCAGUGUAGAGGUGAAAUUCGUAGAUAUUGGGAAGAACACCGGUGGCGAAGGCGGCUCUCUGGACCGAUACUGACGCUGAGGCGCGAAAGCGUGGGGAGCAAACAGG